ACACACACGCGUGUGUGUGUGUAACACAUGGGUUUAUAUUUUCUUCCAAUGUAACAACAGUUUUAUGUGGAGCAGAACUCAACUUUAAAGUACAAAAGUGCACUAUGCGAAGUUUAAGGCUGUUACCCACUUUUUGAAGAACGUAAAGGUUGAGUUACCAAAAAACUUUUUAUAAGUUUCAAAGGUUCUUUGAUGGGCCUGCAAUCUAUGUAAAAAAUACUGAAGUUGUUUUUUUGUGACUGUAAACAUUCAGAGUACAAAUUUUGGAUGAAAUAAUUAUUGUAAUAGAUGUUUGGACUAAAUAUUAAGAACCUUUUGUACCAUCUACGGAUUAUUUUCAUUAAAAAGAAAAAUCUUAAAGAAUUUCACAACUAAGAAAGGGCCCUCGACUCUUACUUGUGAAUCAUGAGUUUGAAUUCCAUCAAUGAACAUUCUUGCCCUUUCACCCAUAGGGGAGCAUUAUAAUGUGGUGGUCAAUCCCACUAUUGAAUUAGCAUACCCCAAGAGUUGAACUUCAAUGGCUGCCUUUUCUGUAGUUUAAAAAUUCUAAAUUAGGGAUGACUAGUCCAUGUAGCACUUGUUUAGUUUUGUGCAAAGUUCAACGAAGUAAAGUAUUUAUGUUAAGGGUUAGAAAAAUUAAUUCAAACUGUUGGUAUGUUUUCAGAAUAUUCUGUAAAUACUGUGCAAAGGAAUUGUAACCAUGACGGAGAAAUAUUAAAGUCAAAGCAAUCCACAUGAAAACCACAAAAGAAAGGAAUCUGAAGCCACAUGUUCUCUGGAUUGCAGUCCUUCUCUUCUUGCUUCACACAUUCAUCAAAUGUCUGUACCCUGUUAUAAAUGACAACUGAAUCAUUGAACAAAUCUAUUGGACUCUUAGCAAGUCUACUGACAGAACUCAAUACAUCUCUUUUCUUAUCGCAAUUCAAACAUUUCAGUCGAAGUUCGUUAACAAUGGAAUCUGAAAUAUAAGGUGAAAUAUUUUAUUAUUGACCAAUAUAUUAUUAAAAAUAAGAUUAUGAUAGAACUAAUAAGUUGUGUUUUCAAUUACAACUGCAAAAGCAUUAGAUGACUUAAAUGCUUAUCAUGCUCUUGGAAGUAAUAACUAUACAGGUAUUUGACCACUGUUUCCAAAUUCAAGUUCUUGUUGCAUGUUCUGAAGAGUAAAAAAAUAUGUAUAAAACUUUUUAGAAGUAAAAAAAGAAGCUAUUUUAUUAAUUCUAAGAAUUUAUAUAUAUCAUGAAACCUUCAAAUAAAAACACUAUUUUUGCAUCUCAAAAACGGUGAUAAGCUUAUAUUAAUAUGACUUCUGUUAAAUACUCUUCUACUUGAAUAAACAGUAGUUUUGUUUAGUUAGUUUGAACAAUAUUCUAUUCUAGGAGGCACUAACAUGAGCUACAUGCAAUGGAAAGAGUGAUUUGGUUUAGAGCCUUCUGUCAUCAAUACUUUAGUGUUUAUGCACAUGGAAGUCAUUAAACAUCAUAUGUAAUAACUAUCAUAACUCAACUGUAGUUGAGGUUAAAAAAAAUUAAAGCUGAAAAUAUAAAAAUUACACCUAGCAUUUAUGAAUUUUAAAAACAACUUAUUUGUGGAAGUGCAAAUUUUAAACAAUUAAUUGUGUGUUCAGAGCUUUGUAUGGCCAACUAUCUGACACGGGCUUUUUUUUUCC
rnacentral:lncRNA from 1 species